AUGUCUCCCUGGCUGAAGCAACAAAGAUAACACUGCUGGUUUCCGGCUUCGUGCUUACAAAGGUCUUGACCCACAAGAUAACCAUUCC